AAUCAACGCUGGCGGCGUGCCUCAGACAUGCAAGUCGAACGAUUAAAGCUCUCUUCGGAGAGUGCAUAGAGUGGCGCACGGGUGAGUAACACGUAAGUAAUCUACCUUCGAGUGGGGAAUAACGUCCGGAAACGGGCGCUAAUACCGCAUAAUGCAGCGGCAUCGCAAGAUGACAGUUGUUAAAGGAGCAAUCCGCUUGAAGAGGAGCUUGCGGCAGAUUAGCUAGUUGGUAGGGUAAUGGCCUACCAAGGCUACGAUCUGUAACCGGUCUUAGAGGACGGUCGGUCACACUGACACUGAAUAACGGGUCAGACUCCUACGGGAGGCAGCAGUCGGGAAUUUUGGACAAUGGGCGCAAGCCUGAUCCAGCCAUGCCGCGUGAGUGAAGAAGGCCUCGGUUGUAAGUACGU
rnacentral:rRNA from 1 species